rnacentral:rRNA from 2 species
AAAUUGAAGAGUUUGAUCAUGGCUCAGAUUGAACGCUGGCGGCAGGCCUAACACAUGCAAGUCGAACGGUAGCACAGAGAGCUUGCUCUCGGGUGACGAGUGGCGGACGGGUGAGUAAUGUCUGGGAAACUGCCUGAUGGAGGGGGAUAACUACUGGAAACGGUGGCUAAUACCGCAUAACGUCGCAAGACCAAAGAGGGGGACCUUCGGGCCUCUUGCCAUCAGAUGUGCCCAGAUGGGAUUAGCUUGUUGGUGAGGUAACGGCUCACCAAGGCGACGAUCCCUAGCUGGUCUGAGAGGAUGACCAGCCACACUGGAACUGAGACACGGUCCAGACUCCUACGGGAGGCAGCAGUGGGGAAUAUUGCACAAUGGGCGCAAGCCUGAUGCAGCCAUGCCGCGUGUAUGAAGAAGGCCUUCGGGUUGUAAAGUACUUUCAGCGGGGAGGAAGGUGUUGUGGUUAAUAACCGCAGCAAUUGACGUUACCCGCAGAAGAAGCACCGG